rnacentral:rRNA from 1 species
GAUGAACGCUGGCGGCGUGCCUAAUACAUGCAAGUCGAGCGAACAGACGAGGAGCUUGCUCCUCUGACGUUAGCGGCGGACGGGUGAGUAACACGUGGAUAACCUACCUAUAAGACUGGGAUAACUUCGGGAAACCGGAGCUAAUACCGGAUAAUAUAUUGAACCGCAUGGUUCAAUAGUGAAAGACGGUUUUGCUGUCACUUAUAGAUGGAUCCGCGCCGCAUUAGCUAGUUGGUAAGGUAACGGCUUACCAAGGCAACGAUGCGUAGCCGACCUGAGAGGGUGAUCGGCCACAAUGGAACUGAGACACGGGCCAGAAUCCUAAGGGAGGCAGCAGUAGGGAAUCUUCCGCAAUGGGCGAAAGCCUGACGGAGCAACGCCGCGUGAGUGAUGAAGGUCUUCGGAUCGUAAAACUCUGUUAUUAGGGAAGAACAAAUGUGUAAGUAACUAUGCACGUCUUGAAGGUACCUAAUCAGAAAGCCAAGGCUAACUACGUG